CCUACGGGGGGCAGCAGUGGGGGAUAUUGCACAAUGGAGGAAACUCUGAUGCAGCGACGCCGCGUGAGGGAAGACGGUCUUCGGAUUGUAAACCUCUGUCUUUGGGGAAGAAAAUGACGGUACCCAAAGAGGAAGCUCCGGCUAACUACGUGCGAGCAGCCGCGGUAAUACGUAGGGAGCGAGCGGUGUCCGGAUUUAUUGGGUUUAAAGGGUGCGCAGGCGGCGUGUCAAGUCAGCGGUAAAAUGUCGGGGCUCAACCCCGGCCGGCCGUUGAAACUGGCGUGCUCGAGUUGGAGAGAAGUAUGCGGAAUUCGUGGUGUAGCGGUGAAAUGCAUAGAUAUCACGAAGAACCCCGAUUGCGAAGGCAGCAUACCGGCUCCACACUGACGCUGAGGCACGAAAGCGUGGGUAUCGAACAGGAUUAGAUACCCUUGUAGUC
rnacentral:rRNA from 1 species